rnacentral:misc_RNA from 1 species
UCCCGGUUGGCCCGGGCAGUCUCGUAUGAGAAAUACAACAUACGAUAGGGGUUGCGCUCGUUGCGGGACUUAACCCAACAUUUCACAACACGAGCUGACGACGGCCAUGCAGCACCUGUCACUAGGUUCCCGAAGGCACUCCACUGUUUCCAGCGGAUUCCUAGGAUGUCAAGCCUUGGUAAGGUUCUACGCGUAGCUUCGAAUUAAACCACAUCAUCCUCUGCUUGUGCGGGUCCCCGUCAAUUCCUUUGAGUUUUAAGCUUGCGCUCGUACUCCCCAGGCGGCUUACUUAUCGUGUUAACUUCACAGCACAGGGGGUCGAUACCCCAUACUAUUAGUAAGCAUCGUUUACGGCGUGGACUAC